rnacentral:lncRNA from 1 species
CCUCCAUGCACCUCGCCAUAACCACUUGCGGUCGACCUAAUAUGACCAUUGAAAUCCCCUCAUAUGAACAGCUUCUCAGCAGGCGGAACCUGGCGCACAAUCUCAUCUAACCCUUCACAGAAGCGCCGUUUAACCUCCUCAUCUAGGCCCACAUGCGGCGCAUAGGCGCUAACGAUGUUAAGGGUGCACUCUCCAACCACCAACUUAAUAAUCAUCAAUCUAUCAUUCACUCGUCUAACCUCAACUACAGACUCUCUAAGUUCCCUAUCCACCAGGAUGCCUACUCCAUUCUUACCUUUCUGGACUCCUGAGUACCAAAGUUUAUACCCGUCCACAUCCCUCGCCUUCGACCCUACCCACCUUGUCUCUUGGACACACGCUAUAUUGACCCUCCUCUUCUGCAGGAUCUUCACCAACUCUAUAGAUUUACCCGUCAAUGUACCUACGUUCCACGACCCAAUUCUCAAUCUACAGCCACUCUUGUUCCCUUUACCUCCAUUGCCUCCCUCCCCACCCUCUAAAUCCUGCCCCACCCCCUGUUCCCCCGAAGACAUGACCUCACUCGACCAUCCCAGACCACAGCCACUAUACGUACGACAGAGUAAGGGGAAUCACUAUCACACAAGGCAACAGACCAAACGAGAAGAAUACAAGUUGCAACAACAUGAAAACUAAUACGGUAAAUAAAGUAGUACGAGGUAAGAUGCCAGCAAUUUAACUCACACAACAAAGGAAAACUGGAAAACGGGAGGUACCAACUCCCGCGAGCAAAAUAGUAAAUUCAAAGCAAGAACAAUAGAACCUGAAGUCACCACGAGUGCCGAGAAAGGUGUUGUCCACAACAGCUAUGUUGGAAGUUCCCGCCCACUUUGCCCAAGGCUCGCCGGAAAAUUGUCUCAGCCGCCACCGUCGCUGCCUUCUUGCUUGAAUUGACCUCCGGACCACUCAAAUC